rnacentral:lncRNA from 1 species
CGCAUGGCAAGGCACGCUGACAUUGAUGCCACGCAGGUGGCCACAAGAGCGAUUUGCGUGCCCCGUGAUCAGACGGCCCAAGAUCGAUCUCGCAUGCGUGGAUGGUCCAGAUUUAUUUUUCUUUUAGGUGCGAUCGAAUGAUCGAGAUUAAUCGUGAUUGAUGGUCCAUAUUCAUUUCCUCCUUAUGCGCAAUCAGAUGG